rnacentral:tRNA from 1 species
UUAAAAAUAAGCUAAUUAAAGCUAAUGAACUCAUACUUCAUAAAUAAAGAUAUUCUUUUUUUUAAA